rnacentral:rRNA from 1 species
AAGCUCGUAGUUGAAUUUCGGGGUCAGACUGUCGGUCGUGCCUCGGUACGCACUGGCAUUAUUGGUUCCUACCUUCUGAAGAACCGCGAUGUCAUUAAUUUGGUGUCGCGGGGAAUCAGGACUGUUACUUUGAAAAAAUUAGAGUGUUUAAAGCAGGCUUACGCUUGAAUACAUUAGCAUGGAAUAAUGAAAUAGGACGUUUGAUUCUAUUUUGUUGGUUUCUAGGAUCGACGUAAUGAUUAAUAGGGAUAGUUGGG